rnacentral:misc_RNA from 1 species
AUUCAUUUCGUGCCUGCAGUCAAACGGUACGUGCUGCAUCCUCCCACGCGUGUUUAUAUAGUAUGUUGGGUCAGACCCCUGAAGUACUAGUAGUUGACAAUUGUUAGACUCCCAUUUUCCCUGUCGUCGGUAUUAUAGUUCACAGAUCGUAAUGUUUAUUUCGUAGUAUCUGUAUCGUACGUGGGUAAAAUUCGAUGAGCUGAACGCUAGAUUCAACAGCAACGACAACUACUGUACUUGAAUUUAAUCGGAUAUUUUAGUUGUUAUGGAAGAUCAGUUGUACAUAACUACUCCUCUUCAAUGACCAUGUGACCUGAUAAGGAAUAUCGGGCAAAGCUAGCCCACUAUAAGUCUGAAGGCAGGUGCAAUGUCAGUUCCUGUGACAGAGGCUGUGAAUCCGAUCACAAAGAAUGUAGAUGUGGCAAGUCCUCUAGAAAUAGUUUCCCUUCUUCAUAAAUGUGACAAAGAAAUCUUUGAAGGCUGGAAUGAGUAUAAAAGUUUGUAUGAUGAAGAAGUAUUGGCCACAUUGGAUAAGAUCAUCACAGUUGCUGCUUCAAUCAUUGAGAACGCUGCCUCUGGCCUGAUUGUAUUAAGUGGCUGUGGAACUUCAGGCAGGAUUGCAUUUUUAACAGCAAGGACCUUCAAUGCUAAGCUAUCAGAGCUAUCAAGGACACCAUGUUUCAAGUAUCUCAUUGCAGGAAGAGACAAAGCUUUAUUUACCUCCCAGGAAGCCCCAGAAGAUGACCCAGUUUGUGGGGUGGAAAUGUUAAAAGAGGUCAUUGAUUGAUAACAGAUGGGAAGACUAAGGUGCUGUUUAUUGGCAUUACAUGUGGGUUGUCUGCCCCUUAUGUUGGGGGCCAGCUCCAGUAUUGUAUGGAGAAUUUAGGUGUGUUCACACCUGUAGUGCUGGGAUUCAAUCCAACCCAUCUAGCAAGAAAUAAUCCAAUAGAAAAAUGGGAGUCAACUUUUUUGCAAGUGAUAAACAAAAUGGAAGAAAUGAAAUCUUCGUCAAAUGUUUUUAUACUGAAUCCAGUUGUAGGGCCUGAGCCAAUCACAGGAUCUAGUCGUAUGAAAAGUGGGUCAGCUACUAAGGUCCUUCUGGAGACCAUUUUUACUGGUGCUAUUCUCUCAGCCAAGUCUGGAGACAGGCCAUGGCAGACCAAGUCUUUCAUUCAGAGCUAUCAAGUUGUGUGUAAUAAUCUCUAUAAUGCAAAAGGAAGUAUGGAGGCAGUUGCUCAGAUAGUGGAACUAGCAGGAAAUAGUUUAAAGUCAAAUGGUAGCAUAUAUUAUGUUGGCGAGGGCACCCUUGGAAUUAUGGGAAUGAUUGAUGCUUCUGAAUGUCCUCCAACUUAUGGUGCUUCUCUCUCUGAUGUAAGAGGAUUUUUGGAUCGUGGUUACAAGUCUUUCAGGAACAAUGAUGGUGACCUCAGCUCUCUCGGAUUACAUUUCCAGAUUUCUUUCAAUGAUAUGAUAAAGGACAUUCUACCUCAUGUGAAACCUUUUGAUGUUGUUAUAUACAUAACCUCAGAUGGCAAUGUUGAUCAAAGAAUGACAAAAUGUCUCUGCAAGAAAGCUCUGAUAUCUUUUGCACCAAAAUCCAGCACAGUCAUUUCCACUGAUGUUGAGGUUAACAUGUCACUACCAAAAGAAGCCUUAAUUUCCCUGAUUGGGGAAACAGCAUUCCAGCAGUUUUCAAUGUUAUUUGAGGAGAUCAGUACAAAGUGGAUUUUGAAUGCCAUCACUACAGGUACUCAUGUCAUGAAAGGAAAAGUCUUUCAAAAUAUGAUGGUGGACCUCAAAGUUAGCAACAACAAGCUAUUCCAUAGAGCUAUUGGUAUUAUACAGAGAUUUUCCGAGCUCUCGUUAGAAGACAGCAAGGACUGUUUGCUUCGAUCUAUUUAUAACACGGACAACUUAUCUGAAGAAAUCAGGGAACGCCCAAUAUCUUGUCAUAUUGAAGCUGCAACACCUCUAUCACAGGUUGUUCCUCGUGCUUUGCUCUCAGCCAUUCUGUCCUGCAGUGUUUCAGAGUCCCAAAGACUAUUAGACAAAGAGCCAGUUAUACAGAAAGUUAUAUCUCAGACACUGUCUGGAGUAAACCAGUGAAUAAGUCUUGCUUAAAUCAUUAGUUCCUGUUGCAAUUUUUAUGAGUCUCAUUUACAUUUAAUCAGGUGUUUAGACAGUGUUAACUGAAACGUUGUUAUUAAUUAUAAUGAAAUCAUGUUCUUGUGCCAUUGUGUUUUCAAAUCCUUUAAAAAACUGUUUCGGAAAGUUUAAUCACAAAGGUCUACUCAUGAUUGAAAUUUUUAAAUUUGUGUUGGUUUGUUUUUGAAAUUGAGUCAAUAUUUUUUAAUGGCUUUGUGGCAAUACCUAAAUGAAACAAAAUAAUUUGUAGCUUUUUAUGUAAAUUACUACAGUUAGUUGCAUUAUCAUCCGAAGCUAAGAAGCUUAUUUAACUUAUAUAGAUGAAUUGGUCUGACUUUUAAGAUAUUCAAGGUAAUAACUAAAUGUUUUAGAUAACAGAUCUAGCUCAAUUAUGAAGAGGAUGUUCUUGCUUUAUGUUAAUUAUAUUAUUGAUUGUUAAUAAAAAUCUGUCAAACUU